UGUUAUGCACUCCAAGCUUACCUAAUAGAAGCUCAUCCUGCACCCUUCUAACUUCUAAGCCCUUUAGUUAAUAAAUCUGCUCGUUGAUCAUUUCUUCCAAUUUGCAUAGUAUUAAUCUUUCCUUCCUUUAUUUUGUCCCUGACAAAGUGACAAUCUAUUUCAAGUUUCUCCGUGAAAAAUGGAUUGGUUGUAAUUUGCAAUGCUCAUUAGCUAUCACAAUACACAUCCACUAGUUGCUUGAUAGGAACCCCAAGCUUUGUACACAACCCUAAAAUCCAAAUAAUUUCUGCAGUUCCUGCUGUUAAACUUCUGUACUCUGCUUCUGAGAACUUCUUAAGAUAAUUUACUAUGUUAUUUUACUUCCAUGAGAUUAGUGAUUCACCAAACUUCACUAGAUGACUUGUGACUGAUCUCCUAGUAUUUGAAGAAGCUGCCCAAUCUACAUCACAGAAAUAUGUAAAAAGUGCUUGCAUGAAUUGGCUUAAUGCAAAACAAAGAUAAUAUCAGAUCUUAUGAUUGUCAAGUAUAUCAGCAUCUCUAUUAACCUCUGGUAUGCAAAUACAUCCUUUAAUGUCACACCCACAUGUUCAUCAAAUCUGCAGAAAUGAGCUACUGAUUCUACUGGAGUGGCUGUUGGCUUAGUUCCUCUUAAUUAUAAAUCUGAUAUUAAUUGAAGUGCAUAUUUCCUAUGGUUUAGUAGAUUUUCUUUACUGGAUCUCAACACCUAUAUCCCUGGUCUUCUAAUUUAAACGUCUGAUGUAGAGAGUAUCUUUUGUCUCCUGAAUAAACUGAUCAUUGGACCCUUAUAAUUAGUAGAUCAUCAACAUAUAUUAAGAUAGCCACAAGGUCUAUCCCUUUCUUCUUUGUAAAUAAGGAAGUGAGUCUUCAGUAAGCUUGAUAUUCAUUGCUUUGAUGCACGUUUCAACCUAUAUAAAUACUUUACCAACUUGCACACCUUUAUUUCCCCAUGUCUCUUAAAUUCUUGAGGUAUCUCCAUGUACACUUUUUCAUACAAAUCUCCUUUCAAGAAAGCAUUAUUUAUGUUUAUUUGAUACAUAUUCCAUCCUUUGGAGCUACUAAUGGAAUGACAGAUCUCAUAGUCACCAUUUUCUUUAACUCGUGAGAAUGUCUCAUGAUAGUUCAAUUCCUCUCUUAGAUUGUAUCAUUUGGCAACUAAUAUAGCCUUAUAUCUUUAUACUUUCCCAUUAACUUUAAACUCUAUCUUGUAUAUCCACUUUAAGCGAAUUGUAUUCGUUCCUUUGGGCAAAUCCACUAUCUCCCAUGUCUUGUCCAAGGCUUUGGUUUCUAGCUCUAUUGCUUCAAUCCACCUCUUGUCCUUUGAAGCUCCUAUUAAAAUCUGUGGUUCUGUGAGUAUUGAAAUUUGUAUUUUGUUGGGAGCUUUCUAUAGUACAGAUAAUUAGAGAGUGGAUAUGAAGUGACUCCAUGGCCUUCUUUAUGGUCACGUAAUCAUAUAACCAUAAAGGCUCUUUAGUAUUUCUUUGAGAUCUUCUCAAUGCAUGAGCUCCAAACUCAGAAUUUUCAAGCCCAACUUCUGAUUCUGCAGUUUGUAAGCAUUUCUAUUGGCUCGACUUCAAGUUCAUUUGCGGUAGACUUUCUAGCUGACGUUGUUGUAUCCACUAAGUCAUCAGUAUUGUUAUCAGCAACAUGUGUAGAUUCUAUUAGGACAUCCACACGAACAUGAUCAAUGUUAGUUUCUGCAGACACAACAGGCACAAAAGUAGUUUCUACUUUUUCAAAGGGUUCAUGAUCAAUUGACACAUUCCCCCAGUCAAGAAUCAUAGAAGGCUAAAACAGUAAAGCUGAAGUACAGGAAGAUCAAUCAAAAAGGAACAGAUGCUCCUAAAAGACCACAUCCUUGCAAACGAAAAAUUAGUUAGUGGAAAGUUCCAACAACUUGUAUCCCUUUUGUGUUUCAGUAUAACCUAGAAGAACUGAUGGUCGGCCUAGCUGGAAACUUAUGUUCCUUAAGCAUAGUGGUGGCAUAACACCCCAAAACUCUCAUGCAAGCAAUUGAGGGUUGGCAUUGUAUACAGGGUGAUUUACUAAUCAGGAUAGAAGUAGGCAGUCUAUUAAUAAUGUACCUAUAAGUACACAUUCUCCCCAUUACCUUGUGGUUAGAUAUUCCUGAAACUUUAAUGCUCUACAGUAUAUAAGAUGUAUCGGUGCUUUCUCUA